UCCUGCUGAUUGGUCGGCUCUGUCCUUCCUCUUAGUGUCCUCAGACUCAGUCCUGGAGGAGUUUGACCUGAGGAAAUACAAGCCCUCAGAGAGAGUUCUCCUGGGUCUGUUGCCGGUGGUCAGAGCCUGCACCAAAGCCCUUCUUUGUGGCUGUGGACUGUCCCCUCACAGCUGUGGGCCUCUGGCCUCAGUCCUCAGCUCCUCCAGUCUCACACAUCUGGACCUCAGUCACAAUGACCUCCACGACUCAGGAGUGGAGCUGCUGUGUUCUGGACUGAAGAGUGCCCCCUGCAGACUGGACACUCUCAGUCUGUCCCUCUGUGGACUGUCCCCUCACAGCUGUGGGCCUCUAGUCUCAGUCCUCAGCUCCUCCAAUCUCACACACCUGGACCUCAG